AGGCAGCAGAUCAGACACCAGCAGGCGAGUUACAGGCCCUGUCAUGCUCCUGCAUCCUUCCUGAGAGAAGUUGAUUUGGGCUGGUUUAAUUCUCCCAUCCCAGCACCUGAAUUAAGUUAAGCAGAGGCUUCUGUGCCUCUGAAGCACUGCCAUGAAGCUUGUGAAACUGCUCUUCCUCCCUCAGCUCUAUGACAGAGGACAAAUACUUUUCCCUCGCAUGCUGGAAAGAACUAAAUGCUGGGAUAAACAAAAGAAAGAACUAAAGAUCGGGAUACAGAGGUGUAUUUAUGUUUGGCCAAUAGGUCCAAAGUUAUGUUGGUGAGAUCAGACAAAGAUGGAGAGGCAGCCAGCCCCCUGUGGUCCAUGAGGGAAAGGAGUGCCACUGUGCAGCUGACAAAACCUGAGUUUGCACCUCCACUUAUAGCUUAGUUGGCAAAAUCGGGAAGCACAAAACUACUGAGCUCCAAGACUUUUGAUGGGGAAAAAGCUUUCUCUGCUGGUUUCCCCAAAGACAGAUGGGAAUUUCUUCAAGAGAAAGCCUGCCACCUGAGGAGCGGGACGGAAGGAAGAGCUGUGACUGUUAACGAAAUGGACCCACGCUCCUGGAUUCCUGCUGUUUCACAGGCAGCGUGGAGUGGACGGGGCUGCUCAGGUGCACCCUUGAAACCUCAGUGCUUUGCGUGCCACUGCUGCAAUCCUGUAAGUGUGCAGAUAUCUUUUGCUCACGAGUCUGGUCCUAGGGUAACUGGUCUGAGCAUUUAACUUUUAAGGACAGAUGGAUGGGCCUGUUAGCUCAGGUUUAAAUUAGCUUUUCCUACAUCUUCAUGAGUCCUCUUUCCAUCUCCCAAAGGUAGCCCUUUCUGUCUACAUACUGCCAGUGCCUGCUCUCUGCCAGAAGUAGUUUGGGUACAUUUUGAAGAAUAACUGGGGGGAAAAUAAAAAUUGAAACAGAUUUGUGUUUCCUCACGUCUCUCCAUGCCCCCAAAGUCUGAAGCCUCUUCUCCAUGACUUCUCACCUCAGAAUUCAUUUUAGUACCAAGAGCAAUUCUGGGGAAAAAUAUCUUACGUUGGUUUUGUUUCUCAUUUAAAUUAUUUCAGUAACUCAUCAGAAAAGUUCAUCUGCACCAAACUAAAUGCAUAAUGUUAUAUCCAUUGCAGAGAAAGUCGCCAGAGCAGGUUGACAAUAUUAAAGUAAUGCUAGUUUUAAAAAGAAUUUUAUGUACAAGCACACAAGUGCAGAAAGACUUGACAGUGAAUUUACUUCAGUUUUUGCAGGAUUAGGUAUUCAAGACCCAGCUCCUGGAGGGAAUGACUAUGUGAUAAAAUAUCUGGGCUUUCCUCUUCUACUGCUUUCUUUCAGUAUUUUUUCUGGCUUUCCUGACUCUGCAAAAGCCUGCAGUAUGAAGUGAAUGUGUCUUACACGCUUUAAAACCAGUCUAAUAUGUAUUUAUUCUGUGCCUUUAAGCCAAUCUUCAAGACAAUCAGGACCUUAGACUAACCACUCAGCUCAAUUAUAUUACAUGGCUGAUCCUUCCCCAAAGUGUAAGGUGGGUAAGAAAGCCAAAGGAGAUGAUGUUAUUAUCAUUUUACAGCUGGAGAAUUAAUUCACAGUUACUUAUGCCUGAUCCAGAGCCUUCUCAUGUCAACUGAUUGCUUAAGCUCACACAGCUGAACACACCUUUUCCAAAUCCCUGACACUGCACUGAGCACAAGACAACUUUUCUUUCUAAAUACCAAAACCAGUUAGGUGUAUCAUCACUUUCUAGACUUUACAGAGCUUCUACUAAUCUGAACUGGAUUCAUAUGAAUAUGCAAGUGUCUUGUAGAAACUAAACCUCUGGAAGCAUUGGCUGGUAUUUAAUCAGCUCAUUAAUCAUCUAAUCACUGCCUGUUUCCAGAAGGUGGAGAAAGAAAGGGGUCUUCUUAACUUAGUUGUUUCUUUCAGACUUAUUAAUCUGAGACUAUUACAAAUACAUUUGCUAAAUCAUAAUAUUCUAAACUACUAACAAUAUUCAAUAAGAGCAUAAAUAUACACAUUUUAAAAUAUAUGGUUCCUAUUCUCUCCUGUUAUACAUCCUGAGAAGAAUUAAUUACAUGCAACCCUGAGAAAUGAAGCUAAUCAUAAUUAUCUUACAAACAGAAAAGAGGCAUUAGAAGUGUCAAGUUGGGUCUGUAUCAAUGUUGUAUUUAAUUAAGCAGAAGAUUAUGCAUAAUCCAGUGAAAUGGUCUCUUGAUUGCUCUAAUAAUCAGCUGAAAUGAGGUUCACCAGUACUAACAAGUAUUCACUGAAGUAAGGAACUCAACUGCAUUGCUUUCAGGGUUGCCUUAGAAAGGGCUUAUUAUAGCAAAUUAAGGGACUUAGAUACCCAGGUGAAUCAGCAUUCUAAAUACAAAUUCUUUAGGCAGUCUUGGAAAUCUCUGCCUUACACUAUGUUUGUACCAAUCCCUUGGGUACUGUGCCUAAAUAAAUAAAUAAAUACAUCCAUAAAUUAGGUCGAUGCCCAGAAGGGCUGGCCGUGGCCAUGUAAAUUGAACAUAGCUUCCUGAGCAGACGCUUUCAGCUUACAGUUGCUAUUGCUCCUCUGUGUGUAUUUUACCUCCAUCUGGAGAGUAAUUUGCAAUCACCACUCAUAACUCUUUUUGCCACCACUACAGAGGCAGAGUCUAUGUUUGGGAAAGGUGCAGAAAAUGCUCAGGCUCAUAAAAUUCUGAAUAAAAAUAGACAUUCUGAAUUCUGAAUUAAAACAGACUGCAGAUCUUCCAUGCAUAAUGGAAGGAUUCCUGAAAUGUCACUCUUGGCCUAAUUCUGUUUUUGUUAGUAUAUAUAUUUUUAAUGAGAAUAUACAAAAGUUUAAGAUAAGAAAAAUGGUCACUCUUUUCAUGGAUUGAAGCCUCGUUCAGUACAGUGUUUAGACAGCCCUUUUUUAUAAUUGUAUAAAUAUUACUCGGUAAAUCAAAUAAUACAGAUGCUGUCACUAGAACUGGUUCUGACAACCAUCAUAGUUGUUUGAUCAUUUUGUACAUGUUGCCCCUUUAGCUAAACUCAAAAAACUCAAAAAAUUGUUGGCCUUUUAAGAAUGAACAAAUCAGACAUUUGCCUUUAACUAGGCACACGUUGCAAAAACACCCUUUAAGUGACCAGGAGCACUAGAAAUCUGGUAGUAUGCCACCCUGAAUGUUUCAAAGCCAUUGAAUUAAACAUUGAAAGUAAAACUUAUCCACCAGUUCCAGCUGUUGCCAGUGAGAACAGGGACUUUUUAUUUUUUCUUUUUGCAACAGUAAGUCUCAAAAUUCUACUGUGUUACAGAAAAUUCCUGCAAUCUAAACAGCUUAGGAUUCCCAUUUUCAGUGGUAUGCAAGAGGCCAGCUCUUCUGCUGAGAGACAAUGAAUCAAAACUGUAAUGUAAAUACGAGAAAUCCUAGAAGAAAACAGACAAGGAUCGUGACUGAGCAGAAGUUUUGAGUAUCUCCCAGAGGGAGGAAUGAAAGUGUUUCCAUUACAGAAGAAGAUCACAGCAGAGAGAAAACAGAAUCCCUGAAGUGGCACUGCGUGUACUAGGCACAUCCCCAGCAUGCUGGAAUAAUACACUCACCUUGUCCACAAUGCAGAUCUGCUUCUUGCUUUGCACAUCAAGGAUUUCCACUUCAAAACAUCCGCAACAGACCUGAGAGAAAUAAGGACAGCCAACAGACGGGUACGGGAAUCCUAUCUGCAAGAAGUACGAAGUGAUACCUCCGCCCCCAGCCCCUCGCACACAAACACACACCUACUUCCCUACCAAAAUAUGCAGAGCUCAAAUCCGAUGGCAGUCAGGAUAUAUUGUAAAAGACAGCUGUUGGGCUGCAGCGAUGGAGAAGCCUCAGGAGAUGCUCCAGGGUCUCACAGCAGGCUUUGGGCACUGUGAUGUGCAGUUGCUCCCGUAAGGAAAGCCAAUGGUUUGACUUCUAUAACUCAGUGGUGUGAUGAGCUCCCUGCCAGCCUGCACCCCAGCAGCAAAGCAAGCAACAAAGCAGCACCUAGGUUGAUGUGAGUCCUCAGAGCGUGGACAGACAGCAAGUUUCCCUGCAUUUCCUUGCAGUUUCAAGCUAUCGUGCCACACCACAGACUAAAUGGAGAAGACUGAGUGGAUUAAUGUAGGACAGGUGCUGAUACCCUGUACUUUGCAGCAGUGUAAGCUUACUUCGUGUCCUCACUUAAUUUCAACUGAGUAUAUUACUGACAGCAUUUUUUAAAUCCCCCUCGGAGAACACAUCCUGACUGGAUAAUGGAUUGUAAUUUCACAGGUCUCUUCUGCCUACACAGCUACAGCACCUGCCCCCCAGCUUAGUGCUCUUCUUGUUGCACACAUAUCAGAUGUAGAAAGAUGUUUCUCCUGAGAUCAGACGGCUUUCCUGGCAGGUAUAGGGCCCAGUCCAGCAUGGGAAGCAGUGUUCAGACUGUUCUGCUGGAAGCAGAAGUAGGUGACAACAGCCCAGGCAUUGCCUGCAAUUUGGCAGCAUCACCCUUUAAAGAUUACCACCUCAUCAAGCCUGCCAUCUUCACAGCACCUGAGGCCACCACGUAACCUGAAAUAAAGCCUGCUGAGACAGCUGCCUCCCCUCUGCAAGGUACAAUGCUGAAUGCUCCUCCACGACCUGCCUGUAUGGGCUCCAAGCCUCCCUCAGUGCCACUGCUAAUCACCAGACAGAAAUGCAGACACCAACAAGUGGUCUUAGGCCACACAGCAUCCUGGAGCUCGGAAGUUGAACGUGGAAGUUGAGAAGAAGAGGGCUUUAAACUCGAGCUCCAUGUGCAAACGAGCUGCAGACAACCACGGGCACCGCUGCCGUACAAAAGACCGUGCUCCAGUUUGCUUUCUGCUGUGACUUUCCACGGAGAGCAAGCCACGUACGAGCGCCGCAGAUGCUGUGUGAGAGCCCACCCGGUUUAGCAGUCUUUGUGCCAGAGCUCUUGGCACUCUGUCAGCCCCGAGAGGAACUGGCUGUGCCUGCAAGUCUCUUUACAGAUAAAGAACCUGCUUUGCUGAUGCUGUUGUCAAUAAAAAGGAACCGGGGGUUUCAUUCUGUUCUCCAAAAGCUGAUUUUGCAUGCAAAAGCACAACAGCUAAGAAUGGACACUGAAAAUAACUAGUAAAGGAACAUGAUCACAGUCCACUUUUUUUUUUUUUUUUUUUCUUUGCAGAUUUAGCUGGUACAGAGCUCCCAGCUUCAAGGUGAACUGUUGGUGUAUCCAGUUUUAGUAAUAAAAAAUGGCCUCGGGUUUCUAAUAAGCAUGUGAAUUCACAGCAUUUACAGCAAAGCAGACUGACCCCUGGUGUGUGAAUUAGGUUAAGCUAAGCAUGGGACUACCUAACUGGAGGGAACCACAAGCUCAGCCUCAAAAUAUUUCUUUCAGAGGACUUCCUUGGCAGACUGACACCAAUUUAAAAUUAAACACUUAGUUCUUCAGCCAGAAUAAAAAUAAAAAUUUAAUGAAUAGGGCCAAAAAAAAAAAAAAACUUUCUCUCAAAGUUUCUCUCAGAAAACAUUUCUGUUUUCAGCUAGCUGUAGCACUGGAAUAAUAUGAGAUGUGCUCAAGGGUAAAGAAGAAUCUGUGUCCAAAGAGGAAAAUAGCAGCAUUCUUGUAUCUUCCUUUUGCACAGCCUACCAGUGCGCACUGAUGACAUUAUCAUUUUUGUUCUUACAUGAUUAACUAGUGCACCACAGCUUUUUAAAACACUCCUAAACAAAGGGAGAGGUUCUUUUACGAAGAGUAGAGGAGGCCCCUGGAACCCUACAGACAAACCCAGCACGUCCUGUGUUGUAGGGGAAUAUCACCAGUGGGAUGCUGCACAGACCUGCCAGCCCUUGGUGUCAGGAGACAAACUGGGCUCCUCAGGCCCAAGUCUGAAGUCAGCACUGCUGAGAUGCUGAUAACAAAGGAGUCAGGCAUCUUCCCCAGCAAAAUAUUUAGGGGUUGCUUUAAUAAUGUGCUGUGUGUCACUACUGGGCAAGUUCUGAGCCAAAAGUUGGCCGUUUCCUACUUGAUAAUCUUUAGACUUCAUGAGACGAAGUUUUCAGGUUUGAUAGUUGCUCACGUGGAACUACUUUUUAUAGCUGUCUGUUGAGAAAUGCUACGCAAGAAGGCAAAAUCUUCAGCAGCAGCAUGUGCCUCAUUUUCAGGAGCUCUGUCAGCUUGGUCCCAGAGAAGCUGAAGUACAGUUUACAUCUCUCCCUCCUGAAAUCGAACAACGGGUAGCAACAAUACGGGACAAUAUAAAAGUGCCAGUAAAGCAUCUGUAGCUACUUACAACAACAGAACAAGCAGAAAGUCAUUAGUAAGACUACUAAAACCCACAAAUUAAAUUAUGUAUUUCUCCCCUGAGGAAAAUGGGAGAUCGAGCAUCGUAACUAUUCCACAGGCAUAGACCAUCUGGGCAGGAUUUUGAAAAUCAUAGCAAGUGCGUUCAUGUGGACUGGGCGUUUGGCCAGAGGGAGCUUACCAAAAACUGGAGCCCUCAGGGGGCUCAAAGGCAGGUGACCUGGAGGCUGAGCAACAGGAGCAGCCAGAAGGAACUUGGUUUAGAUUGAAUAACACCAGCAUGUUUGUGUCCUUGAGUAAAAGUGUCAUGAUAAAGCAGUUAAAAAGUAAAUCUCUCAAAACCCAAAAACACAUUGUAACAUUUUAUGGGAUAAAGAGUUUUUAAUUCAGUUAUUUUUAAAGCCCUCAUUCAGAUGUUUUUAGCCUAGCAAUGAAUAAAACACGGCUGCUCACACCAUCUAGCACAGGAUACUGCCUGCUGCACCCUUCCUACAUAGUCAGUGGAUAGAAGGCAAAUCAAAGCCUCUAAACUGGUCAUCUUCUCUUAAUUGUCCUGGGAAAGAAACACUCUUUUCUUGUAAUGUGGAUUUGCAUGCCUGUGGUUGAGCUCUCUGAAUAUCCCUCUAAAUGUACAACUUGAGAAAUCCACAAGGAAUAAAAGCUCUGCUUUCUGAUCCACUUCAGUUAGUUCAUGGCCUAAAUCUGGGGAUUCGCAAACUUCUCAGAAAAAGGAUGCAAGGAUCCCAAACUGUAGACAAUCAGAAACUGUACCUGAGGUCUCAUCUCCUAAAAAACUUGCCAGUAUGAGAGGACUCCCCCCAGACUUAAGCCAAGUUACCACACUGCCACCACAAAGCAAAGGACAAGGCCGCCAAUCCAAAGUUAACAGUCAGACAAGGUUUGGGUUUGUUUGUUUGUUUGUUUUAUCAUGAAAACAUCUGCAUGCAUCUCUAUUAGCCUCAGCACAUUUAUUUCCAUUGCUUAGUGGGUAACUGGGAUCAAAAAUCUGGCCUUUCAUUUUCAGCACAUAGUUCUGUUAACAAUAAAUUCAUAUAUAAAAUAAAAGCCUAUUUUGAGAGAUGAUUUUUAAAGACAAAUGUGUAUGAUUUUGUUUGCAAAGCAAAUGGCUGGGUUAGGUUUAAUUCAUCUAUAUCAAAGGCCAUGAGAGUUGCUGUAUGAGAGACAAAUACAAUUAUCUUUACCACAAGAAUAAAUGCAUAAUGAACUCCUAGCCUUCCCUCUUUAAAGUAACACACUCCACAGUAAGCAUGGAUUUAGGCAAAGCAACGGUCCCUGGCCACACAGCACACGUUUAAUGAAGUUACUCCUCAGCUGUUUGCUGCUGAACUGAACUGAGCCAAAAUAGAGAUGAGCACUCCUAGCCCGUUACGUGGAAGCCUCCUCCGACAGAAAACGCUUUGCUGUUCCAAUCUAAAAAGUUUGUCAGCUUAUCGAGAGGACAACUGCUGUACCCCUCCACAGAGCAAUUAGAGCAGAAGGCAAUCACAGGAAGGAAUUAAGAGGGAUUUGUGGUCAGACCUCCCAUUAGGAUUGCUCAGACCAAAUGGAUUUGUACAAGCCCAGGAUCUCUCCCUUUGCCUUGCCACGUCCUGGCCAUCAACAGCCU